ACUGCGAAUGGCUCAUUAUAUAAGUUAUCGUUUAUUUGAUAGUACCUUACUACAUGGAUAACCGUGGUAAUUCUAGAGCUAAUACAUGCUAAAAAUCCCGACUUCGGAAGGGAUGUAUUUAUUAGAUUAAAAACCAAUGCCCUCUGGGCUCCUUGGUGAUUCAUGAUAACUUCUCGAAUCGCAUGGCCUUGCGCCGGCGAUGGUUCAUUCAAAUUUCUUCCCUAUCAACUUUCGAUGUUUGGGUAUUGGCCAAACAUGGUCGCAACGGGUAACGGAGGGUUAGGGCUCGACCCCGGAGAAGGAGCCUGAGAAACGGCUACUACAUCCAAGGAAGGCAGCAGGCGCGCAAAUUACCCAAUCCCGACACGGGGAGGUAGUGACAAUAAAUACUGAUACAGGGCUCUUUCGGGUCUUGUAAUUGGAAUGAGUACAAUUUAAAUCCCUUAACGAGGAACAAUUGGAGGGCAAGUCUGGUGCCAGCAGCCGCGGUAAUUCCAGCUCCAAUAGCGUAUAUUAAAGUUGUUGUGGUUAAAAAGCUCGUAGUUGAACCUUGGGCCUGGCUGUCCGGUCCGCCUCACCGCGUGUACUGGUUCGGCCGGGCCUUUCCCUCUGUGGAACCUCAUGCCCUUCACUGGGCGUGACGGGGAAACAGGACUUUUACUGUGAAAAAAUUAGAGUGCUCCAGGCAGGCCUAUGCUCGAAUACAUUAGCAUGGAAUAAUGAAAUAGGACGUGCGGUUCUAUUUUGUUGGUUUCUAGGACCGCCGUAAUGAUUAAUAGGGACAGUCGGGGGCAUCAGUAUUCAAUUGUCAGAGGUGAAAUUCUUGGAUUUAUUGAAGACUAACUACUGCGAAAGCAUUUGCCAAGGAUGUUUUCAUUAAUCAGGAACGAAAGUUAGGGGAUCGAAGACGAUCAGAUACCGUCGUAGUCUUAACCAUAAACUAUGCCGACUAGGGAUCGGACGAUGUAAAUAAUUGACUCGUUCGGCACCUUACGAGAAAUCAAAGUGUUG
rnacentral:rRNA from 1 species